rnacentral:tRNA from 1 species
GGCGCGGUACCCAAGUGGCUAAGGGAGAGGUCUGCAAAACCUUUAUGCGUCGGUUCGAUUCCGACCCGCGCCU